UAAGGAGGUUCAGUUGCUUAGACAGCCAGGAUGUUGGCUUGGAAGCAGCCAUUCAUUUAAAGAGUGCGUAACAGCUCACUGGUCGAGCGGUUCCGCAUGGAUAAUAAUCGGGCAUAAGCAUAUCACCGAAGCCGUGACUUUGUAUUUAUACAAGGGGUAGGGGAGCAUUGUAACUGCGCUGAAGGCGUACCUGCGAGGGAUGCUGGAGCGGUUACAAACGAAAAUGUAGGCAUAAGUAACGAUAAUGCGGGCGAGAAACCCGCACGCCGAAAGACCAAGGUUUCCCCAGCUAUGCUAAUCAGCUGGGGGUCAGUCGGG
rnacentral:rRNA from 1 species